GAAUUGUCCUGGUGGAAUGAGGAAAAGAAAUAGUGAUACAAUAUCGAAUUUCCGAGACACAGACACAGCAUCUAUAACAGAAGUAUACCUACAAAAUAAACAGUUAUCUUUAGGGUCUUUAUAUAACCUAAUAAAUGAUUAUUUAGAUGUAAAAGGACAACGGUCUACAAAUACAUAUGAGGAUAUUCUUUAUGAUCAAGAUUACAAUUAUGAUGGCAAUUGAGGAUAUGGAAAAAUGGCGCUUGAGUAAAUGGUGUUCAGAAGAUGAAAAAUUGGUUUAUUCAUGAAAUUAAUUAAACAAUUAGACUCCAUGAACUUCUUUCAUUAUUGUACAAUAAAUCUUUAACACUAUAACUACGACUGUAAUACAGUUGUUGUAAACAAUAAAUAAUAUGAAAUAUCUUGUUAUAA